rnacentral:rRNA from 1 species
GACAGAGGGUGCAAACGUUGUUCGGAAUUACUGGGCGUAAAGGGCGCGUAGGCGGCUUGGUCAGUCCCGUGUGAAAUCCCUCGGCUCAACUGAGGAACUGCACGGGAAACUGCCUGGCUUGAGUUCGGGAGAGGGAAGCGGAAUUCCGGGUGCAGCGGUGAAAUGCGUAGAUAUCCGGAGGAACACCGGUGGCGAAGGCGGCUUCCUGGACCGACACUGACGCUGAGGCGCGAAAGCUAGGGGAGCAAACGGG